ensembl:processed_transcript
GCACGAGGUGUCCUCUCACCAGCAGCAGCUGCCAUCUCCUGAUUCAGGUUUGGAAUGCAGUAUAAGUUUUGCAAAUUUGUAAACAGUAGCUGAGAAGUUACACUACAGACUACAUCGCUAUCAAGGACCAUCCUGGCAGCAGCACUUUAAAGACUUUACUGACUGUUUGAUUUUUUUAACCUCCUGUAGCUGAUGUCCGAAAACAGUGGCCUGCAUGUUUUUGGGAGUUUAGGUCUAUGCUGAGUUUUACAGGAUUACUCAAACCAACCUCAAAGAUAUCUUCUCUUUUUCGGAUGAAUACGCUAUCAAGUUUUAUGGAUCAUGUUGUGGGCGAUAUGGAGAGAUAAUAAGAACCGCCCUGGACCAACUGGACAAUCAAGUAAUUAUUUAGCAUUCAAUCAUAUCACUGAUUAAAGGGGGGCAUAUUAAACUUUAUGGAGUUUACCAUGGAGUUUCUCUUUUUGACACAGAGCCAGAAGAUAUUUGCACAAUAGAGAUGGAGAUGGACAUCCUUAGCACUGUUGAA